rnacentral:lncRNA from 1 species
GCCUUUUCUUUUUCCUUCGACAAUGCCUUCGCCUAGCCACAGCAGCUCCCUCAUACAGACUCCGCAAGCCAAGAGGCCGUGGAGGCAAAUGCAGACAGCCAGCACACCUCGAACAGCCACCUUGACUGCGGGUGUGUCACCCUAGUCGCCAAGGAAACAUUUGAGGGAAAGCGACAGGCAAUGUGAACAGCCACUUCUCCAUGUAAACGAUACUCUUUCUCUCGGAUGACUCCUACGUUCGCCACGCCAGCACACUUGUGCACAAAGAUGCCGCGGAGGCACGUGCAGGUCAGAGGCAAGAAGCAGUGGCACUGGUGUCGACAUUCACCCAAUUUCUUUUUCUUACACUGAGGCAGCCAGCACACCUCGAACAGCCACCUUAACUGCGGGUGUGUUAGUAGAUUCCUGUUGUACAUAUGCUCAUAAUAAACUUCAGUAAACUUGAACUUGAUAAUAAACUUGAAGGCAAAUGGGA